AGAGUUUGAUCCUGGCUCAGGACGAACGCUGGCGGCGUGCCUAAUACAUGCAAGUAGAACGCUGAAGAGAGGAGCUUGCUCUUCUUGGAUGAGUUGCGAACGGGUGAGUAACGCGUAGGUAACCUGCCUUGUAGCGGGGGAUAACUAUUGGAAACGAUAGCUAAUACCGCAUAACAAUGGAUGACACAUGUCAUUUAUUUGAAAGGGGCAAUUGCUCCACUACAAGAUGGACCUGCGUUGUAUUAGCUAGUAGGUGAGGUAAUGGCUCACCUAGGCGACGAUACAUAGCCGACCUGAGAGGGUGAUCGGCCACACUGGGACUGAGACACGGCCCAGACUCCUACGGGAGGCAGCAGUAGGGAAUCUUCGGCAAUGGGGGCAACCCUGACCGAGCAACGCCGCGUGAGUGAAGAAGGUUUUCGGAUCGUAAAGCUCUGUUGUAAGUCAAGAACGGGUGUGAGAGUGGAAAGUUCACACUGUGACGGUAGCUUACCAGAAAGGGACGGCUAACUACGUGCCAGCAGCCGCGGUAAUACGUAGGUCCCGAGCGUUGUCCGGAUUUAUUGGGCGUAAAGCGAGCGCAGGCGGUUUGAUAAGUCUGAAGUUAAAGGCUGUGGCUCAACCAUAGUUCGCUUUGGAAACUGUCAAACUUGAGUGCAGAAGGGGAGAGUGGAAUUCCAUGUGUAGCGGUGAAAUGCGUAGAUAUAUGGAGGAACACCGGUGGCGAAAGCGGCUCUCUGGUCUGUAACUGACGCUGAGGCUCGAAAGCGUGGGGAGCGAACAGGAUUAGAUACCCUGGUAGUCCACGCCGUAAACGGUGGAUGCUGGAUGUGGGGCCCUUUCCACGGGUCCCGUGUCGGAGCCAACGCGUUAAGCAUCC
rnacentral:rRNA from 1 species